CAGUCGCCACGGUAAUACGUAGGUGGCAAGCGUUGUCCGGAAUUAUUGGGCGUAAAGGGCUCGCAGGCGGUUUCUUAAGUCUGAUGUGAAAGCCCCCGGCUCAACCGGGGAGGGUCAUUGGAAACUGGGAAACUUGAGUGCAGAAGAGGAGAGUGGAAUUCUACGUGUAGCGGUGAAAUGCGCAGAGAUGUGGAGGAACACCAGUGGCGAAGGCGACUCUCUGGUCUGUAACUGACGCUGAGGAGCGAAAGCGUGGGGAGCGAACAGGAUUAGAUACCCCGGUAGUCCCUGUCUCUUAUAA
rnacentral:rRNA from 1 species